rnacentral:rRNA from 1 species
AUUGAACGCUGGCGGCAGGCCUAACACAUGCAAGUCGAACGAGUGGCGGACGGGUGAGUAAUGUCUGGGAAACUGCCUGAUGGCGGGGGAUAACUACUGGAAACGGUAGCUAAUACCGCAUACCAUCGGAUGUGCCCAGAUGGGAUUAGCUUGUAGUGGGGGUAAAGGCUCACCUAGGCGACGAUCCCUAGCUGGCUUGAGAGGAGACCCAGCUAAACGGGAAUUGGAACAGGGGCCAGAUUCUUACGGAAGGCAGCAGUGGGGAAGAUUGCACAAUGGGCGAAAGCCUGAUGCAGCCAUGCCGCGUGGAUGAAGACGGCCUUCGGGUUGUAAAGUACUUUCAGCGGGGAGGCGUUACCCGCAGAGGAAGCACCGGCUAACUCCGUGCCAGCAGCCGCGGUAAUAC